CCUACGGGAGGCAGCAGUGGGGAAUAUUGGACAAUGGGGGGAACCCUGAUCCAGCGACGCCGCGUGAGUGAAGAAGUAUCUCUGUAUGUUAAGCUCUAUCAGUAGGGGAGAAAGAAAUGACGGUACCUGACUAAGAAGCCCCGUCUAACUACGUGCCAGCAGCCGCGGUAAUACGUAGGGGGCAAGCGUUAUCCGGAUUUACUGGGUGUAAAGGGAUCGUAGACGGGGAUGCAAGUCUGAAGUGAAAGGCGGUGGCUCAACCCUCGGACUGCUUUUGAAACUGUAUGGCUGGAGUGCAGGAGAGGUAAGUGGAAUUCGUAGUGUAGCGGUGAAAUGCGUAGAUAUUAGGAGGAACACCAGUGGCGAAGGCGGCUUACUGGACUGUAACUGACGUUGAGGCUCGAAAGUGUGGGUAGCAAACAGGAUUAGAUACCCCUGUAGUC
rnacentral:rRNA from 1 species